rnacentral:rRNA from 1 species
GACGAACGCUGGCGGCGUGCCUAAUACAUGCAAGUAGAACGCUGAAGAGAGGAGCUUGCUCUUCUUGGAUGAGUUGCGAACGGGUGAGUAACGCGUAGGUAACCUGCCUUGUAGCGGGGGAUAACUAUUGGAAACGAUAGCUAAUACCGCAUAACAAUGGAUGACACAUGUCAUUUAUUUGAAAGGGGCAAUUGCUCCACUACAAGAUGGACCUGCGUUGUAUUAGCUAGUAGGUGAGGUAAUGGCUCACCUAGGCGACGAUACAUAGCCGACCUGAGAGGGUGAUCGGCCACACUGGGACUGAGACACGCCCCAGACUCCUACGGGAGGCAGCAGUAGGGAAUCUUCGGCAAUGGGGGCAACCCUGACCGAGCAACGCCGCGUGAGUGAAGAAGGUUUUCGGAUCGUAAAGUUCUGUUGUAAGUCAAGAACGGGUGUGAGAGUGGAAAGUUCACACUGUGACGGUAGCUUACCAGAAAGAGACGGCUAACUACGUG